GCGACUAUCCCUGCAGCGCGCCUCUCCCGUCACGUCCCAACCAUGGAGCCGUGGACGUGCGUCCCCUGGUGGAUGUGGCCUGCGUGAUGCCAGGCCGGGGCCUGGUGUCCGAUAAAGAUCCUAGAACCACAGGAAACCAGGACUGAAAGAUCACAUCUCCAUGAUCCAUAGGCCCUGCCCAAUCUGACCUCACACCGUGGGAAUGCCUCCAGACUGAUCUAGUGCCGUGCCCCUCAUCCAGUCUCGGAUUGUGGGAGGCUGGGAGUGUGAGAAGCAUUCCCAACCCUGGCAGGUGGCUGUGUACAGUCAUGGAUGGGCACACUGUGGGGGUGUCCUGGUGCACCCCCAGUGGGUGCUCACAGCUGCCCAUUGCCUAAAGAAGUAAGUAGGACCCUGGGAUCUGGGGAGGGAAUGGCUGUGUCCCACAGGAAUAACAGCGGGAUACUUCCCCCAGGGUCACUUCUCAGGUGAGGCUUCAGACUAAAGGAGAGAGGGAAGGUCCUGGCCCAGGUCGCACCCGGAGGCAGAGCUGGGGCUGGACCACUCUCCCCA
rnacentral:sRNA from 1 species